rnacentral:tRNA from 1 species
GCGGGUAUAGCUCAGUGGUAGAGCAUGUGCACGAGGUCCUGGGUUCCAUCCCCAGUACCUCCA